CCGGGUACCAAGGGGCGCGCUCGCGCCGCGCCCCUAUCCCACACCCUCUGCAAACCCGUCCGACGACCCCAUGGCGCAAGGUCGUGCGGAGGGGGGCUCCCUCCAGCAGGGCGGCCCUCCUCUCCGGCCUGCCAGCCAACACAAACCCUGCCUCGAAACGUGCUUUCUGAGCGACAUGGAAAUAGCGAA
rnacentral:misc_RNA from 1 species